rnacentral:sRNA from 1 species
UAAUAUUGCAAAGUGAGUGGUGCAGUAUUCUAGUCAGUCCUCCAUUCUCGAAGGCGGGCCUAAAAAUCCGCUAAAGGGCACAUCGAUGAAGUUCCUAGUAUUGGCUUGAGGCGCCCAGCCUUGGGUCAUUGCUGGGAGUAAAGGGAGUCGGGCGAUCCACAAUGGCAUGUGGGCGAUGACCCUCCUCCCGCGGAGGCCUCAAAUUAUGGUGAUCUUCUGGGAAUAAGAACAACUAUAAUUUAAGGUAUGAACCUGCAUUUACAAGUUUCCCCUUGUAUGCAGCGUAGCCUGCCUUGAGUGGAGUAGAGGGGAUUAUGGAUACUAAAUUGUAUACGUUGUAUCAUCGUUAGUUAUCCACAUGAAAUCUGCUCUGCAAAAGAGGAUAGAGAAUGGUAAGGGGCUGUUGAGGAAAACUCCUAGACUGUUCAUAAGACAUUUAAAGGGGAUUAUAGUGCGUACUAAGUGGUAAUCCAGUCUAGCGUUUGGUGACAGCGCUAAGGUAGAUUUAAAGGGAAACCGCCAAUGUGGCGACACGUCGGUAUUUACUUGGGAAAACCUACUGGACCUAAGACGCAGUCUUUACUCUUUAAAUGACCACUCACAACUACAUAUUA